rnacentral:lncRNA from 1 species
UUUUUUUUUUUUUUUUUUUUUUUUUUUUAGAUUUUAUUUUUAGGUAAUCUCUACCCCAACCUGGGGCUUGAAUUUACAACCAGGAGAUCAAGAGUUGCAUGCGCUGUGGACUGAGCCAGACAGGCAACCCUGAAUAUUUUAAUUAUUCUGAAAGCAUAUAAAAUUAGAAACUUUGAUUAAAAGUUUUCAUUAUAAACUGUAAACCUUUCUGGCAGGAAUCUUGUAACUAGUGCCUUAAAAUUGUUUAAUAUUUAAUGAAUUUUUAAAAAUAAAACACUGAUGACUGAGUAUGGUACCAAGGAACCUAGGUUCCAGUGCCUUUUCCUGUGCAUAUAGUCCUAGAUGGGUCACUUAAUCUUAGCUUCACUUUCUAAAUCUCUGUGGCACUUUCAGGCACUUCAAAGAUCCACAGAGAUUAUGCAUAAUUUUAAUAAAUGAAAAUAUUUAUGUAUGGUAGAGUUUUGUUCCUAAUUAACAAAAAAAUAGGUAUUUACUUAUAUUUUGGUCUGUAGUGUUGAUCAGGAUGUGUUUUAUAUAUCGCAACCAUAAAGUUACUAGCUUUGCCUGUAACAUUGUGUAACUUGUCCUGUGCCUGGAAUGUCCUUGAAGGUUGAGUCACUGUUUGCAUUUACAUAAUGCCUCCCAGGUUACCAGAGAGUUUCAUGCUAAAAAACUCAGCUACCUGCUUCUCAGUAAGCUACAUUUUCAGCUGCCCUUUCUUGGCUUCUUUAGCUGAAGUUCAGGCCAUAUUGCUGUUUGGUUUUUCAUUCAGGAACUCUUUUUCUGCUUUCUCUCUGCCAGGAACUGACCCAAACUACAUAUUUGUUUUGUGCCGUUUUGCUAUGUAAUGGUGAUUGAUUUCUUACUGUUGGCUAAUUUCUCUGGGAUCUUGUUGAUAGUGAUCUUCAACAAUCACUCGUUACAAAUCUUUUCCCAAGAAAUAAUCUGUAUGAGAUCAGUUACAUGAAAUGAGGUAUCCAUGUCAAAUCCACAAAAUGUGAUUAUGCCUUAGGCCCUAUGAUCUGGACCAGAGCCUAGCAAUGUAGGUGGUCACCUGAAGUUUAUUGAUUUUCUAUUUUUUUUUAAUCUUGGCCCACCAAAAUUUCAUUUCUCAAUACAGAUCCAGAGUCAAGAAAUCCAACAAUGACUUUGAAAUGCUUAUCUUCAAUGAGCUUCAUUCAUUCGGCAUAUUUGUUAAGCAAUCUGCCGGGCACUGCAAUAAACUUUUCAAAUGAAAGUAAUGCUUCUCUCAAAAAGCCUAUACAUUAUUUAUUUAAUUUUCAGACUGAUUAUAACCCUAAUGCUGUGAUUACAGCCACUGCAUAGUUAUGUUUUUCAUACAUACACAUACAUACAUACUAGAGUAUAAAUACUGGGAUAUUAGGUGUUUUGAAUAAUAUUCUUUGUAGUUUUGUUUUUUUUUUAUUUAAACUGGAAUACACCACCCUAGUCAGUGAGUUGAAUUUUAUCUGCAGAUUCAAAAAUAUUUUCAAAAAAGACAUGUAGAGUUCUUGCUCAGUACCCAUCGUGGAGGAGAAGGAGCUUCCUUUCAUGAUGCCAAAGACUGAAACACAAAUUGUGGAUUUCUCUGUCAAUAUACCAGCUUUAUUUCAUGUUACAUAUACUUGUAUUGAAGUAUAACUUACAUGCAUUAAAAUGCUUGCACUGUAAGUGUACAGUUAGAUGAAUCUUAACCACUACUCAGAUCGAAAUUUCGAGAACUUCCGUCAUCCCAGGAAGUUCCCUCUUGCUCUUAUUAGACAAUAUUCUAUGAAACCCAAGCAAUCAUCGAUCUCGUUCUUAUCAUCAUAGCCUAGCAGGUUUUCCCUAUUCUAGAUGUUAUGCGACUGGAAUGAUAUACUCUCUACACUUCUGUAACUGAUUUUUUUCAUUCUGCAUGUUUAUCUUUAAUUUAUCCAUUGUGUCAUGUGUAUGCAUUAGUAGUUUGUUCUUUUCACUGCUGAGUAGUGUUCUAUUGUGUGGAAAUGCCACAAAUUCUUUCUCAAUUCACAUGCAUGUUGAUGGAUAUUCGGAUGAUUUUUAUUACUUGCUUCUAUACAUAUUUAAACGAAAGUAUUUCUGUGGACAUGUGUUAUCAUAUCAAGUUUGAUUUUUAAUACGUAAAAUAAAAACUUAAAAAAAAGCAAUAGAGUGUCUGAAAUGAGUAUUUCAGAUACUUAGCAUCUGAAUAACUGGAUAUAGGCCUAGUUGGGCACUGCAUUAAUGCACUAAUUUGGCAAAGACACAAAUCGGUUUAAACUCUACUUUCUUCAUAAGUAGUAAAAAUUUGAUUUGGUUAUUAAGAAGGGUCAACCAGACAAUGUGAAUGGAAUUGCUUUCUAAAUUAGAAAGCUUAACAGAAAUGAAAGAUGGUAUUAUCAUAUGUAAAAUAUGUACAUAUUUAGGAAAUAAUCCCUCCAAAAUAAAAUAACUAAGUAAAACAAACUGAUUUGAUAUCAUUUGAAUUAUGAGAACACUCAAUGUAAAAUUAAUUAAGAUUUGAUAUUUAAGUGUAUCUCCUUAAUAAUUUUUUAAAGAACAAAUCAGAUGAUUGUAAAAUCCAGAAACAGUUUGAUAGAGGUGCCUAGGUGGCUCAGUUGGUUUAACGUCUGCCUCGGGCUCAGGUCCUGAUCACAAGGUCCUGGGACUGAGCCCAGAUAUCAGUCUCCCUGCUCUGCAGGGAGUCUGCUUCUCCCUCUGCCCCUCCCCUUCCCCUGCUCAAGCUCGCUC